rnacentral:rRNA from 1 species
GCCUACGGGGGGCAGCAGUGGGGAAUAUUGGGCAAUGGGCGCAAGCCUGACCCAGCAACGCCGCGUGAAGGAAGAAGGCUUUCGGGUUGUAAACUUCUUUUAUGAGGGACGAAAGAAAUGACGGUACCUCAUGAAUAAGCCACGGCUAACUACGUGCCAGCAGCCGCGGUAAUACGUAGGUGGCAAGCGUUAUCCGGAUUUACUGGGUGUAAAGGGCGUGUAGGCGGGACUGCAAGUCAGUUAUGAAAAUUAUGGUCUCACCCCAUAACCUGCAUUUGAA